rnacentral:rRNA from 1 species
GACGAACGCUGGCGGCGUGCCUAACACAUGCAAGUCGAACGGAAAGACCCUGCGCUUGCGGCGCUCACGAUAGCCGAACGGGUGAGUAUCACGCGAGUAUACCCCCCUUGUCUGUCGGGGAACAUCUGGAAACACGGGCUAAUACCCCGGAUGAUCUUCUGAUGCACGUUGGUCGUUGGAAAGAUUCGGCGGUUCGGGAUGGACUCGCGGCUUAUCAGCUUGAUUGUGGGGUAGUUGCUUCCCAGGGGUACGACGGGUAGGCGACCUGAGAGGGUGACCGGCCACCUUGGGCCUGCGAUACGGCCCAGACUCGUACGGGAGGCAGCAGUGGGGAAUAUUGCACAAUGGGCGGACGUCUGUUGCAGCAGCGCUGCGUGCGGGAUGCCGGCCUUCGGGUUGUAAACCGCUUUCGCCUGUGCCGAAGCGUGAGUGACGGUAAUGGGUCAAGAAGCACCGGCUAACUACGUG